rnacentral:rRNA from 1 species
GUUCCAGACUCCUAGGGAGGCAGCAGUGGGGAAUAUUGCACAAUGGGCGCGAGCCUGAUGCAGCAACGCCGCGUGAGCGAAGAAGGUCUUCGGAUCGUAAAGCUCUGUCCUUGAGGAAGAAGGAAGUGACGGUACUCAAGGAGGAAGCCCCGGCUAACUACGUGCCAGCAGCCGCGGUAAUACGUAGGAUCCGAGCAUUAUCCGGAGUGACUGGGUGUAAAGAGUUGCGUAGGUGGCAUAAUAAGUAGCUAGUGAAAUCUGGUGGCUCAACCAUUCAGACUAUUAGCUAAACUGUUAAGCUCGAGACCGUUAGGGGUAACUGGAAUUUCUAGUGUAGGAGUGAAAUCCGUAGAUAUUAGAAGGAACACCAAUAGCGUAGGCAGGUUACUGGGACGGUUCUGACACUAAGGCACGAAAGCGUAGGGAGCAAACGGGAUUAGAUACCCGGGUAUA